GUCUAUGGCCAUGCUACCCUGAACAAGCCCGAUCCCGUCUGAUCUCAGAAGCUAAGCAGAGGUGGGCCUGGUUAGUACUUGGAUGGGAGAUCACCUAGGAAGACCAGGUGCUGUAGGCA
rfam:Pteropus alecto contig98119, whole genome shotgun sequence.